GACGUAGGGCGCGAGCGUUGUCCGGAUUUAUUGGGCGUAAAGAGCUCGUAGGCGGCUUGUUGCGUCGACUGUGAAAACUCACGGCUUAACCGUGGAACUGCAGUCGAUACGGGCAGGCUAGAGUUCGGUAGGGGAGACUGGAAUUCCUGGUGUAGCGGUGAAAUGCGCAGAUAUCAGGAGGAACACCGGUGGCGAAGGCGGGUCUCUGGGCCGAAACUGACGCUGAGGAGCGAAAGCGUGGGGAGCGAACAGG
rnacentral:rRNA from 1 species